CAACAAUAUCUUUAUGGUUCCAUUUAAUUCCUUUCAACUAUGUAGCCAAUAUCAGACGACGGCCUACUGCUUAAGCAUUUCCUCUGCUUUUCCUCUGCUUAAGCAUUUCCUCUGUUAAUUCCUCGUUUUUAUUUAUUGAUCUCUGCUUGAAGCUUGCUUUGCUAAACUUCUCAACUCAUAAAAAAAAAAAAAAAAUUGCCCCUUCAAAACGAAAAUUAAAGAAAAGCUGCAAACGGGCUUGCAUACUCGAUCGAUUUGCUACUGGUGUUUAUGAGAGAUCAGCUUGCAGGAACCAAAAGAAAAAGAAGGAGAAUACUUGGGAGCAGUAAGUAGUAAUCAAGCAGUGGCCAUGGAGUUUCUUGCUGCAAUUGGUGGUUCAAUUGUUGGAAAAAUUGCCAAGUCUACUAUUGAACCAAUUGGCCGCCGGUUUGGUUACCUCUUUUACUUCGAAUCCAAUAUCAGCAAUCUCAAAACACAAUUUCAACAUCUGAAGGAUACCAAACAAGAUUUACAAAACACCCUUGAUUUGGCAACAAGAAGAGGUGAAGAAAUUAAACAAAGCGUCAAGAAUUGGUUGAUCCAAGCAGAUAGCAUCUCUGAAAUGGUAGAAAGCUUUCUAAGUGAUGAAGGCCAAUCGAAUACAGGGUGUUCCAUUAAGUGUUUUCCCAAUUUGGUGCUACGUCAUCGACUCAGCCGGAGAGCCAAGAAGAUGGCUCAGUCUGUUGUUGAAAUCAAAGAAGCCGCCGGCAAAUUCGAUAAGGUUUCCAAAGUUUCAAUUCCACAGAACAUUAUCGAAACCAAAGGCUACAUGGUUUUUGACACAAGAAAUUCCAUUUUGAAAGGGAUUAUGGAAGCACUUCGAAAUAAUGAUAUCAGAAUGAUUGGAGUGUGGGGCAUGCCAGGUGUGGGCAAAACCACACUUGGUAAAGAAGUUGCGAAACGUGCCUUGGAAGCCAAGUUAUUCAAUGAUGCCGUUGAGGUUGCGGUAUCUGCAUCUCCGAAACUUGAAAAGAUUCAACAAGAUAUUGCAGACAGACUUGGUUUGGACUUCCAUGCGAAAGGUGUACAGGCCAGAGCACUUCAUUUAAGACAUCGACUAAGGACCGAAGAAAAAUUCCUUAUAAUUCUAGAUGAUGUCUGGAUGAAGCUAGACUUACUUGAGAUCGGAAUAUGUUUAGAGGAUGAUCAGAAGGGAUGCAAGAUAUUGCUAACCUCAAGAUCUCAAAGUGUGUUAGAAGAUGAUAUGGGUGUGGAUCCGGGCAACAAUUUCAAAGUUGAACUUUUGUCAGAUAGUGAAGCAUGGACUUGGUUUUCAAAGAUAGUAGGUGAUAGCGUGUUAUCAGAUGAAAAUUCUGAUGAGUUCAAAGAUUUGGCAACUCAAAUUGUGGAUAAAUGUGCAUGCUUACCACUUAUGAUCAUAACAGUUGCUCAUGCUUUGAAAAACAAAGGAAUACACCAUUGGAAGGAUGCAUUGACACGUCUUCAGAUGUCCUCCGUGGAUGAAGCUAUAUAUACAAGUGUAAAACUAAGUUUUGAUAUUUUGAAAAAGGAAGAAGCAAGGAGGAUAUUGUUGUUCUGUAGUUUAUAUGGAGAAGAUGAGGAAAUAUCAAUCAACGAGUUGCUGGAUUUGUGUGUGGGAUGGGGUUUGUUCAAACAUGUCCAUACUCUUGAAAAGGCAAGAAACAGGUUGCAGACAUUGCUGGAUGAACUAAUAUCGCAUUGUUUGUUGUUGAAAAGUAAAGAUUCAGUGAAGAUGCAUGAUGUCAUUCGCGAUGUUGGAAUAACAAUUGCUGCGUCGGAAGAUUUCAAAAUGUAUAAUAUCAGAAGUAAUGAUGAGCUAACGGAGUAUCUAGAUGACAACAACAAACUCAAAGACUCCAUUGCAAUUUCACUUGGUCCCAGUUAUGAUGAUGAAUGUCUACCGUCGAGAUUGAAUUGUCCAGAACUCCUCUUGCUUUUGAUGAAGGGAAGAGAAUAUUCUUCACUUCCAGACAACUUUUUUGAAGAAACGAAAAAGCUGAAAAUUUUAUAUCUAUAUUCUCUACGUUUGAAACCAUUGCCUUCUUCCUUCUGUUGCCUUAAAAAUCUUCAGGCAUUGCAUUUGGUUGGAGCAGUUGAACUAGGAGACAUACACUUGAUUGGAGAGCUAAAGAAAUUAAAAGUUCUUGACCUUAGACGAUCCAAAAUGAAGCAACUGCCAGAGCAAAUAGGACAAUUGACUUGUUUAUGUAAGUUGGAUUUGAGUCGUUGUUACAAUCUCCAAGUGGUCCCACCGCAUGUGAUAUCGAGAUUGGUAAAUUUAGAAGAGUUGAAAAUGAUAGAAAGCUUUAGGAAUUGGAAGGCAGAAGGACUAGUCGAUGAUGAAAAUAGAACUAAUGCCAGCCUUAGUGAGAUAAAGAAGUUGAUUAAGUUGACUUCUUUAUAUUUGGAGAUACCACAUGUCAACAUGCUGCCUAAAGACUUGUUUAGUACAAAAUUGGAAAGAUAUUACAUAAGUUUAGGAGAUUGCUAUGUAUACAGCAUGGAUGGUUCAAGAGGAUUGAAACUCAACUUGGAAUUAGAAACAAGCAGUUUGUUAAAGGAGCGUGGUUUUCAAAUGCUGUUGAAAAGGUCAGAAUAUUUGCAUAUAAAUAAAUUUAAUGGUUUGAAAAACAUUGUUUGUGAAUUAGAUAAGAUCGGUGGUCUUGCACAUUUGAAAGCUCUCAAAGUCCAUGGUAAUGAUAAAAUCCAAUACAUGAUUGACUGCUUAUCAAUGGAGACCAACCAUAUUUCUCAUGAUAGUGUCUUACCAAGUUUAGAGAGAUUUUCAUUUAAUACGGUGGACAACUUAGAAGAGAUAUGCCAUGGGCAACUCAGAGGCGCAAUGUCACUUGGAAAAUUAAGAAAGGCCGAGGUUGUGUCGUGUAAUAAAUUGAAGAAUCUGUUACCAUUCUCCAUUGCCAAAAGGCUUGAGGAAAUUAAAGUGUGGUACUGCUCCAUGAUGGAAGAGAUAGUUACAUCUGAAAGAGUAAAAGAUGCUAUAAACUCUGAAGCCGUGGAUAGAAUUGAGUUUCCUAAUCUUAAGCGUAUGGAACUUGACCAUCUACCACAGCUUACUCGAUUUUGCGCGGAGUGUGACACAAGUGGUACCCCCGAUCAAGGCCACACACUUUUCAACCAAAAGGUUGCUCUUCCCAGCUUACAAGUCUUGGAUUUGAAAUCGCUGCAAUUGAAAAGGAUAUGGGCAGACCAACUUUGGCAAACAUGUUACCUGCAGAAUUUAAGAGAGUUGUCUGUUCGAUGGUGCUAUAGUUUAAAGUAUCUGUUAUCAUUUGCUAUGGCUAGGAGCCUUGUACAACUUGAGGAGUUAGUUGUGUAUGGGUGUAAGGGCAUGAAAGAGAUAAUAAUCAUAAAGGAACCAACAGUCACCUUUGACGAUUCUGAUGAAUUAGAGAUAAUGGAGCUUCCUAAACUAAAGCGUAUAAGACUUGAUGAUCUACCCAAGCUUAUUCAAUUCUGCUCGCAGUCUCAAGGCCAAGGGAGCAAGCAGCUAAUGUUUUCAGAUUCUACUUCAGCAUUUUUCAACCAAGAGGUUGCCUUCCCUAGCUUAGAAUACUUGAGUUUAAGAGGUCUUAGUCGUUCCAUGAAAAGGGUAUGGCCAAACCAGCUUCUGGUAUCAUCUAAUUUAAGAACGUUUGAUCUUGAGGGCUGCCAUAGCAUAAAGUAUGUUUUACCAUUUGCAAUUGCCGAAAGCCUAGUACAGCUUAAGAAAUUAAGUGUACGCAAAUGUCUUGAGGUGGAAGUGAUAAUAAUGCUAAAGGAACCAAAAGAAGAAGUUGAAAAGAUUGAUAAAAAGCUGCUCCCUAAUCUGGAACAUGUAGAGCUAAGAGAUCUCCCAAAUCUUGCAAGAUUCUGCUCUAUUGAAACUAAUAUAUGUGCCCUUAAUUUUAUACGGAAAGUGUUGAUAACUGAUUGCCCAAAGCUGUGGUCUCCUCGUGAUGAAAAGGUUGAGUACUUUUCUGGUGGCCUGGACAUGUCUUCUCUUAAUUCUGUACAACAAAGAGUGCCAUAUGAUCUUCUUGUGCCUAAUUUAACGACCAAGUUGACAUUGUACGCCUGUAAUAAUGUAGAGAAUCUAUUAUCAGCAUCGGUGACUAAAAGUUUUGUGCAUCUCAGAACCCUGCAAGUAAGUGACUGUGAGCUGUUGAAAGAGGUAGUAUUCACAGAAGAGUCUGGAGAUGGAAUAAGGUCCCACAAGAUUUGUUUCCCAGCAUUGAAAAUUCUUAGGCUUUCCCAUCUAACGAACAUCGAAAAGUUUUGUGCAGGAGAUCACAUCGAAUGUCUGUUUUUGGAAUCGUUGGAAAUAAAAGGUUGUCCUAAACUCAGCACAUUCAUCUCCCGUUCUACAGAUCACAAAGCAGUACCCGAAGAAACGGACAUGGAUUCAGUGGCUACGCAACCAGCUCUAUUCAACAACCAGAAGAUUACACUUCCGAAAUUGAGAAUUAUGGUGCUGGAGAGGUGCAAUUCGAUAAUUGAGAUAUGGCAUGUAGAUGAUACUAAAGACAGAGGCCAACAGAGUGCAAGAUCAAGAUCAGCAAUAUUCCAGAGUUUGGAAUUUCUACAAGUAUCUGAAUGUGGGAGUUUAAACAAGUUAUUAGAGGCUAAUUCCUCUGUGAGUUUUGAAAAUUUGACAGAUCUUAAGGUGUUAAAAUGUAAUAGAAUGGAAUAUUUAUUAAGCCCCUCAGCGGCUAAAACUCUGGUACAACUCGAAAAGAUGGGCGUAUCUGAAUGCGAAGCAAUGAAAGGGAUAAUUGCACCAUCAUCAUCAUCAGAAGCUGAUCAUGAUGACGAUAAGCUUUUUAUUGCUAGUUUUGAUAAUUUGGAAGUUCUGGUGCUCGAUUCCUUACCCAGCCUCACAAGCUUCCACGUGGGAAAAUGUGCAUUGGAAUUUCCAAAACUGAGCCCCGUAGUUGUAGCUGGGAAUUGCCCUGAGCUGCGGAGUUUCUGUGGUCAUGGAAGUACCAUAACCACCCCUAAACUCACGACAUUUGUCAGAAAAAGAACUGAACCAUUUAGGGAUUUAUAUACAUGGAUUGAAGAUACUGAUACCCAAAUUACAAUACAUGAUUAUUGGUUCAAGUCGCUUACUCUUGAUUUAGAAACGGACGACAAGAUAGAGCUGCAGGAGGAGGGUGGCAGUAUUGAUAUUAAUACCACCAUUCAACAGUUCUGGGAGAAUUACCAUCCACAAAAGUAACAUCAACACCAGGAAGAAGAGGAAGUGACUAUGAUGUGUAUCUUUCUUUUUCCCCAAGGAAGAGGAAACGAAACGGGAAGUGGAGAGACACCAGAGGAUUGCUCUUGCUAAGUCAGACAAAUCGGAAGAAAAACAUGCUAGUAGUUACCUGAAACUACAGAUGAGUGAGGCUGAAGCUCAGAAGAAUUAUCUGUUUGAGAAGUUAAAGCUUCAAGAUAGUUCACGGGCAUCACAAAACAGUGGUGGGGUGACCCUUCAUAGAUUCCAAUCUCAGGAGAGAUACUACCGGAUCCUAAGAGUACCGUGACAUUUGUUAUCAUAAAAAACUAGAAAUUUAGGCUUUUUUUUUAAUUGAAGAAUAAAACAACUGCAUUGCAUUUUCAGAGAAGGUUUCUUUCUGCUCCCAUUUUGAUUUUGUGCUAUUGUGUUUUGUCACCAUAUUAUCUUCAUCAAUUUUUUUUCGAAUUUUCUCUUACUUGCAAGACUCUGGGACCAAAAUUAAACAGAAGCACAAGGGAUUACAUACUGGUUUUGCUGUUGGCAUUCAUAUAGAAGAGACCAAGGGUUCUUUGUGUCUUUUGCUAAGAUUUUUCAUCUUCCAAGAACUGAAAAGGAAAGGACCAACUGCACAACAUUUCGUAGCAGGACGAAAAUUGAAGAGGAGCCGAUCAAGAAGGAUUGCAUAUCGCUAUAUAUUUAAUUAUUGGAAAAAUAUAUAUUUUAUAUAUUUUUUAAUGAUAAAUUACAAUAAAAGUACUCUACAGUAAUGGAUCAAACUUGUUCAGCAAAUUUUUGUACCAAUUAAUUAAUAUGACAAAUAAUGUGAUAAUAUUUUAUUAGCUUCUUAUAUUGAA